rnacentral:misc_RNA from 1 species
UUAAACUCGUUUUCAUACCAACUCAACUUAUUAUCUAAUAUUAUUAAUAAGAAAAUUUAGCUUUAAUUUAAUUAUUACAACAUUGCAAUACAAUUUCUUCUCAAAAAGAAAAUUACAACACAAUACUCUCUCCCUAGCUCAUUUAUGCUCCCCCAAUUCAAAAUAAACAAAUAAAUAAUUAGCUUUAAUUUAAUAAUUACGACAUUACAAUACAAUUUCUUCUGAAAAGAAAAUUACAACCAAUACUCUCUCCCUAGCUCAUUGAUGAGCCCACAAUCCAAAAUAAAUAAAUAAAUUAGCACAUCUAUCAUAAAUUUACAUAUUCCAUAUAAAAAAAGUAAAUCAAUUAAUUUUUAGCCAGAGAUUGAAUAAGAGCAACAAUAAGAGUUGUAAACGCGGUGAUUGGAUCACCAAAAAUAGCAAAGAGGAUGAGCCUAAGAACCGAUGCUACCAUGUUCCAAUAAUGCUUGGCUUUCCCUCCACUUUGCUGCACUAUCUCUGUACUAGAGCUGAGCUUACUAGGAACUGUCCUAUGCAGUGCCACCGCCAACCCACUAGUGUUGGCGUCAAGAUCACUUUUUUGCUGAUCAAAGUAACCCAUUUCCCAGGCCUCAUAAAACAUUUCUUUUACACAAGCCACAUGAAAGCAGUACUUUCCACAAGAAGAAACGUAAGACCAACCCUUUGGCCCUUUAUUUGAAUUGCUUCUACUCUGGCAUUUUAAGCACUUGGAUUUGAUAUUUUCUUUGAGCUCUAGUUUCACCUCUUCACCAGCUAGAGUCUUAGGGAGCUUUGCACAAGGAGGGUGCAAAUCAUAUGCUUUCUUAUGGGAGCAUUGAUACACGAACCCUCUCACAUCUCUCCAGCAUCCAUCGCAAACCCUAACACCCAGUCUUGGAGAUUCCUCAUAGAAUUUGAAUUCACAUCCUUUGAAGAAUCGGUGAUAGAAACUAGACGAAGUGAUUGCACAUUCUUUGUGCAAGUGAAAGUUGCAUAUCUGGCACUGGUAGCAUGUCUCAAACCCUAGCUCUUUGCAUCCAUCGCAGAUGUAAGGUACCAAUGAAAGUUCUAGUUUAAGCUGAUGUAGUGGGUGGCUGGGAUGUUUUAUCUUCGUAAUAAGCAUGAUGUCAAUUGGGUUUGAUCAGAAUACGAUGAAAAACUUCAGAUGAAAAAGGGAAAUUGUAGGAGUAAUAUGGUAUAGAAGGAAAUAGUUCAGAAAAUCUGUGCGUUGUGAUGAAGAAUAUCUGCAAAAGAGAAAGCAUAUUUAUAGGACAAAAAUCAAUAGAAGCAAAUCCUUUGAUCGAUUGUGAAACUACCAGGAACAUUCGUAAGUAGUCUUCUAUAAUUCUUAAUCAUUAAGCAUAGAUGCCGUGAAUUAAUCAUUAAGCUUAGAUGCCGUGAACUAAGGGCAAAACUUCUCAGAAUUUAACCAUUGCAUGCAGCAGGAUUACAUGUGUCUGUGCGUGUCUUGGUAUAUCCCAUUGUUUAUUAUUAUUAUUAGUAUUAUUAAAGAAUACUUGAAUUGGAUUUUGGGUUCGCUUCAGUUGACAGGUUCAGUUUUUGUUUUAAUUUACGUUGGCAGCUGUAAACAAUAUGAAACAUGAUUCUGAUUGGUUGGCUAGUAAAUGUUAAAUUGGAAAACAGGAUUUAUUUUGAAUUUGUAUAUUUCUUUCUUCCAUUUUGUACCUUCUUAAUUAUGAUUCUUCUCUGUAAAGGACUGUCAAUUGUCCGUCAAG